GAUGAACGCUGGCGGCGUGCCUAAUACAUGCAAGUCGAGCGAACAGAUGAGGAGCUUGCUCCUCUGACGUUAGCGGCGGACGGGUGAGUAACACGUGGAUAACCUACCUAUAAGACUGGGAUAACUUCGGGAAACCGGAGCUAAUACCGGAUAAUAUAUUGAACCGCAUGGUUCAAUAGUGAAAGACGGUUUUGCUGUCACUUAUAGAUGGAUCCGCGCCGCAUUAGCUAGUUGGUAAGGUAACGGCUUACCAAGGCGACGAUGCGUAGCCGACCUGAGAGGGUGAUCGGCCACACUGGAACUGAGACACGGUCCAGACUCCUACGGGAGGCAGCAGUAGGGAAUCUUCCGCAGUGGGCGAAAGCUUGACGGAGCAACGCCGCGUGAGUGAUGAAGGUCUUCGGAUCGUAAAACUCUGUUAUUAGGGAAGAACAAAUGUGUAAGUAACUAUGCACGUCUGGACGGUACCUAAUCAGAAAGCCACGGCUAACUACGU
rnacentral:rRNA from 1 species